rnacentral:rRNA from 16 species
GGAUGCGAUCAUACCAGCACUAAAGCAGCGGAUCCCAUCAGAACUCCGAAGUUAAGCGCGCUUGGGCGAGAGUAGUACUAGGAUGGGUGACCUCCUGGAAAGUCCUCGUGUUGCAUUCC